AACGAACGCUGGCGGCAUGCCUAACACAUGCAAGUCGAACGAGCCCUUCGGGGUUAGUGGCGCACGGGUGCGUAACGCGUGGGAAUCUGCCCUUGGGUUCGGAAUAACAGUGAGAAAUUACUGCUAAUACCGGAUGAUGUCUUCGGACCAAAGAUUUAUCGCCCAAGGAUGAGCCCGCGUAGGAUUAGCUAGUUGGUGGGGUAAUGGCCUACCAAGGCGACGAUCCUUAGCUGGUCUGAGAGGAUGAUCAGCCACACUGGGACUGAGACACGGCCCAGACUCCUACGGGAGGCAGCAGUGGGGAAUAUUGGACAAUGGGCAAAAGCCUGAUCCAGCAAUGCCGCGUGAGUGAUGAAGGCCUUAGGGUUGUAAAGCUCUUUUACCCGGGAUGAUAAUGACAGUACCGGGAGAAUAAGCUCCGGCUAACUCCGUG
rnacentral:rRNA from 1 species